rnacentral:rRNA from 1 species
UCAAUAAGCGGAGGAAAAGAAACUAACAAGGAUUCCCCUAGUAGCGGCGAGCGAAGCGGGAAGAGCUCAAAUUUAUAAUCUGGCACCUUCGGUGUCCGAGUUGUAAUCUCUAGAAAUGUUUUCCGCGUUGGACCGCACACAAGUCUGUUGGAAUACAGCGGCAUAGUGGUGAGACCCCCGUAUAUGGUGCGGACGCCCAGCGCUUUGUGAUACAUUUUCGAAGAGUCGAGUUGUUUGGGAAUGCAGCUCAAAUUGGGUGGUAAAUUCCAUCUAAAGCUAAAUAUUGGCGAGAGACCGAUAGCGAACAAGUACCGUGAGGGAAAGAUGAAAAGCACUUUGGAAAGAGAGUUAACAGUACGUGAAAUUGUUGGAAGGGAAACGCUUGAAGUCAGACUUGCUUGCCGAGCAAUCGGUUUGCAGGCCAGCAUCAGUUUUCCGGGAUGGAUAAUGGUAGAGAGAAGGUAGCAGUUUCGGCUGUGUUAUAGCUCUCUGCUGGAUACAUCUUGGGGGACUGAGGAACGCAGUGUGCCUUUGGCGGGGGUUUCGACCUCUUCACACUUAGGAUGCUGGUGGAAUGGCUUUAAACGACCCCCUCUUGAA